CCCUUAGAUGUUCUGGGCCGCACGCGCGCUACAAUGAUGAAUUCAACGAGUUUAUAACCUUGGUUGAAAAGCCUGGGUAAUCUUUUGAACUUUCGUCGUGAUGGGGCUAGACCCUUGCAAUUAUUGGUCUCCAACGAGGAAUUCCUAGUAAACGCCAGUCAUCAGCUUGCAUUGAUUACGUCCCUGCCCUUUGUACACACCGCCCGUCGCACCUACCGAUUGAAUGGUCCGGUGAAAUCUUCGGAUUGAGACUUUGAUUUCUUCACGGAAAACGCUGUUUUAAAAAGUUGAUUAAACCUUACCAUUUAGAGGAAGGUGAAGUCGUAACA
rnacentral:rRNA from 1 species